UGGAACGUAGUGCUCCCGGUUUUAUUUUUUUAAAGCGACCUUUUCUGAAGUGUCAACCAACCAAGGAUCAAACACUGGUCGUUGCGGGGAUCGGCUUCAGAGGGUCAAGGAUGGCGUCUUGAAUCGCUGUUCAGUCGACAGGCAACUGUAUGACAACGCCAUCCCUGUCAACCAGAGCGUCGACCGAAGUAGGGCGGCGUUGCGCGGACCUGGCCGCACCCGACCAACCGGUGGAGUACCUGACUCGGGCUGGGCGGAGACUACCUACAUCACGACCUUUUGAACUUUGAUCUCGUGGCGAGAAACAAUAUGACGUAAGGAAGUGUGUAUGUGGCUGGCGGGGCCGAGGGUGAAAUGCGCCACGUGUUUAUCCUGCCGGAUGACGACAGCGUCACCAACCUGUCAAAGAACGAGCUGGUGCAGCGCGUGAUGACUGCUAUCUCGUCCCUAGAACCGGAGUAGAAAAAC